ensembl:lncRNA
CUGCAAUUAGAGUGAAGGCCAGGAGGGCAGGGGCUCACUGCGAGGAAGGGUCACAACUGCUAUGUGUCAGAAUCGAAGUAAAUAUGUGAAAGGACAGGGGAUUUAGCUGCACUCUUGUCUGAUGAGACUGCAAAUAGCCAAGGCACUGCUGGGAAGAUGCUUUGAGCACUGGAAUUUUAGAAACAAACAGCAAGCGAGGGGAGGCUUUCCUCCUGGACCAGUUUCGUCAUGACUGAUUCAGCUGAUGAAUUUCUCUGAGCUGACACUGUCGCCCUGCAAUAAAUGAAGCUUACCUGGACACGGCAUUUCUUCUCUCAACAAUGUCUGUUUUCUUUGGAAUCGUUUAGAUGAGUCAGGAUGGUAACACCGCAGCCCCCUCCUCGCUGUGGUCAGAGGUCCCUGGAGGUUUUCAGAAGGGCGGAGCGCUCUUCCCCAUGUGAAUGUGUUAG